rnacentral:rRNA from 1 species
CCUACGGGAGGCAGCAGUGGGGAAUAUUGGACAAUGGGCGAAAGCCUGAUCCAGCCAUGCCGCGUGUGUGAAGAAGGCCUUCGGGUUGUAAAGCACUUUCAGUGGGGAAGAAAGCCUUGGGGCUAAUACCCUCGAGGAAGGACAUCACCCACAGAAGAAGCACCGGCUAACUCCGUGCCAGCAGCCGCGGUAAUACGGAGGGUGCGAGCGUUAAUCGGAAUUACUGGGCGUAAAGCGCGCGUAGGCGGUCUGAUAAGCCGGUUGUGAAAGCCCCGGGCUCAACCUGGGAACGGCAUCCGGAACUGUCAGGCUAGAGUGCAGGAGAGGAAGGUAGAAUUCCCGGUGUAGCGGUGAAAUGCGUAGAGAUCGGGAGGAAUACCAGUGGCGAAGGCGGCCUUCUGGACUGACACUGACGCUGAGGUGCGAAAGCGUGGGCAGCAAACAGGAUUAGAUACCCCGUAGUC